rnacentral:rRNA from 1 species
AGUCAUUGCAUGGGCGAAAGCCUGAUCAGCAAUGCCGCGUGUGUGAAGAAGGCCUUCGGGUUGUAAAGCACUUUUGUCCGGAAAGAAAUCCUUUGGGUUAAUACCUCGGGGGGAUGACGGUACCGGAAGAAUAAGCACCGGCUAACUACGUGCCAGCAGCCGCGGUAAUACGUAGGGUGCAAGCGUUAAUCGGAAUUACUGGGCGUAAAGCGUGCGCAGGCGGUUUUGUAAGACGGAUGUGAAAUCCCCGGGCUUAACCUGGGAACUGCAUUCGUGACUGCAAGGCUAGAGUAUGGCAGAGGGGGGUAGAAUUCCACGUGUAGCAGUGAAAUGCGUAGAGAUGUGGAGGAAUACCGAUGGCGAAGGCAGCCCCCUGGGCCAAUACUGACGCUCAUGCACGAAAGCGUGGG